rnacentral:rRNA from 1 species
AUUGGGCAUAAAGAGUGCGUAGGUGGUUUUUUAAGUCAGAAGUGAAAGGCUACGGCUCAACCGUAGUAAGCUUUUGAAACUGGAGAACUUGAGUGCAGGAGAGGAGAGUAGAAUUCCUAGUGUAGCGGUGAAAUGCGUAGAUAUUGGGAGGAACACCAGUGGCGAAGGCGGCUUUCUGGACUGUAACUGACGCUGAGGCAUGAAAGCGUGGGGAGCAAACAGGAUUAGAUACCCUGGUAGUCCACGCUGUAAACGAUGGGUACUAGGUGUAGGGGCGACAGCCUCUGUGCCGCAGUUAACACAUUAAGUACCCCGCCUGGGGAGUACGAUCGCAAGAUUAAAACUUAAAUGAAUUGACGG